CCCCUCUCGAGGUUCUCAGCACUGCCCCUUACCCCAGUGGCACUGUGGAGCCCUGCUGGCUCUCCUGGUGGGGAUGGGAUUUGGGGCGGGGAUGGGAUUUAGGGUGCUCCUUUGCCUGGUAAGGCAGGGAGAAAGUGCUCCUGGAGGAGAAGCCCCUCGUGCGUCAGUCUCCAAGGAAACCCUUGGUGCUGCGUGGCUCAGCCUUCAUUGCACGCCUGGGCAGUGGCUCACACAUCUCAGACUUGUGCCUGAAUCACUCAUCCACACUUUGAUCUGCCAGUGGCGUUUUAUGGGUGCAAAUUUUAGGCAAAUUGUGGGGUUUUCCUACCCCGACAUGCCACUUUAUCUCCCAGAGCCUCAUGGUUGGCUUUGGUGUGCAGCACAAGUGAAACCAGCCCUAUCUCUGUUUCAAAUGCACAUUCCUCACCAUUGAGUCUGGAAGGAGAAGCCUUCUAAUGCUCCCACACCUCCCAGCUCCUCCAGAGCAAGCCUGGGAGCCUGGUGGUUACAGGGAGGCUUGGGCAGCAGGUGCUUCCAGGUGUGCUGCCACCAGCCUGGGUGCAGUGCCUGAGCCAGGGCAGGUCACCCCUCUGCCCCCUGCCUGGUGACUGCCCCAAAAGCUUCCAAACCCCCACAGGUUAGGGCUGCCCACCCACAGGGCAGUUUCACUGCUCAUCCCCAAUUUGUGCUCAAACACCCAGCCCUCAGUUUUAAUUAAAAAAACAAAAAAUCAUCUCUUCUUGUCUCAAUUAACUACAAACAAUUGCGUCUCUUGAGUUUGCUUCUCAUGCUCCUCAUCACUGCCUGCUGUGGAGCAGCACUAGCUCUCCAGCCUGUGCCCAGGAGCUUCCUGCAGCCUCAGCUGAUGGAAGGGGAAAAGCACGGAUCCAGUGACCUUUGUUUGCCUCACUGCUGCCCACAGUCCCUGCCUGACAUUUGAGGAGUGCUCAUAAAAAGAAAGUACCAUUUCUGGCACACUGACCCUGCUGCUGAAGAGCUGUUCCUCUUCCACCUCCUUCACCUGCUGGGAUUAAAAGCCACAGGUAAUGCUGGGGAGUAAAUGAAAGGCUUUCCACAAGGAAAUAAACUAAAACAGUAAACAAAAGGCUGAUUCUUAGAAGAGAAACAACUGAAGCUGUCACCAGGAAAACAUGGUGAUGAAGCACUCUGGUCCUCGGAAGUUGCCUUACAUGUGUUGGAAAUUACCUUCUGACUCAACCAGCUCAGUGUGUCUGGUGCCACUGUGCUAAAAGCUUUUAGCUGACCUGAAUACCUGAGGUUUUCAAGGAAAUAACAUUUCCCAUGAGAAAUGUCACCACCAGAGCCAAGCCUUUCCUGAGAAAAGCCUGUGUUAGGUGGGUGAUUUUUCCUGCUCUGGGAGCAGUCUCUCUGAGGAGCUGAGCUCCCACUGCUGUGUCCCCAUGGGCAGCAGCUGCUCUGUGGGCACACCCAGAGCUCUGCUCUCGCUCCUCUGCUGCCACAGCAGGGGGUUCUCCAAUGCAAGGUUCAAGUAAAAGCCUUUUAAUCAUCCUGCAGCCAUCUCCUGGGAGUGUUCCUCCUUCCUGCUGCCCUUCUCCCUCCAGAGCCUGGCUUCUUACGCAGAGCCGGUGACUCAUUCCCUGGGAUGUCUUUGCUGAAUUUGCCUGGUCACCUCUUUCCCUGAGCGCUGCUUCCUUGCUUGUCAGAUGGUGAGUGAAGGAGCACAGGCACAGUGUGUGCUGGGAUGGCACCAGCUGCCGGCAGGAUCCCCCUUUCCUCUUGCCCUGGGUGUCCCUGGGCUGGUUCCCCCCUCUGUUGUGGGUCAGAAGGGAAGCAAUGUCUGUCUCCAAUUCCAUCCUUUUCUCCAAGAUCCACCACCUGAGCUAUGGAAUGCUGUGAGCUCUCCCUGCUCACCUGGCUUUGCACGUUCCAGGGUGCCGUUCACAUGGACCUCAAUGUGCAAAGAGGAGCUUUGUGAAGUCCAGCAAAGGGAGUGGGAACUCCUGCCCCCAAGGACGAAUGCCUCCACUCACCAGUACAAACUGGGGACCAGCUGGCUGGAAAACAGCUUUGCAGGUAGAGAUCUGGGAGGUCUUGGUGGAUAACAAAAUGAUCAUGGUACCUUCUCACAAUCAGCAACAUCCUGAGCUGGAUUAAGAAGAGCAUUGCCAGCAGGCCAAGGGGGAUGGAGGUUUUGAUUCAUCCUUUUUGACCAAGCACUGCUGCCACUGGCAGAAACUGCGUUGGCACCUUGUGAGUGUUGCAGAUACUUCUUGCCAAAUCUGAGGUCCAGCAGAGUCCUGCAUGAAGGAUCCUAAACCCCAGUUCAAGGCUUGGAAGGCAGGACAUAGACAGAGGGAAGGAACCUGCCUGGCAUCACACAGUUAAGCAAGUGGUGGGUUGGGAAGUGACUGGAUUCUUUCCUGAGACCUGGUUCAGUUCUCUCAGUGCUGAGUCCUGUUCUUGUAGUUGAUAUAUGUGUAUUCAAAAGUUGUGAGUGUACCCAAGAGCCUCAGGUUGGCCAAAGAGAUGCUUUGUGUUCAAAAUAAAGUCCUGUUUCCUGGAAACUAAA